GAAGACGUCUUCCUAUUAACUGCUACCAUAACAACAAUGGGACACAUCUUUGCAGAACUAGGUAAGAUAUAAACUAUAAGUGAUCAUUGAUGGCCAGGAGCUGAAUUUUAUGGCAAGAGAUAAGUUUAAUUUAUCAAAACUCUAGUUUGCCUAUAUACUAAGUAGCAGUUCUCUCAUUGAACUCUAUGCCAACAAUUCUAUUCAAUAACCAGCUUAUCUAUAGACAGAUAAGAGUUUUUUUUCUAUAAAUUUUUGUAGCUUUUGUAACAUUAUUUAUUUUUAAACAAUUUCGGUAUAUCUUAAACUGAUUUAUUGAAUAGCACAUUUGUCACCAUGAUUCUGAUAAAUUGUUUGGGUACAGGAAUAAUUACUGUUAUGUUGUCGAAAGGGAUUUGUAAAUUUUAGGCCAAGGUACCAGAGCCUUAUAAAGCCGAGGUAAGGACUUUUUCUGGUUUUGACUAUUUUGGUCUAAAUCCAUUCUUUUUGCCUUUUCUUGCAAGUUCCAGGUUUAUUGAACAACCACAACCAAACAAUUGUUUAAACUAAAAUCUAAAUAAACAUUCACUAGACACCUGAUAGUUUUAAUAUUAACGGUGUCUGUAUCCAUUUCAAUUGAACCUGUUAAGAGAAAAUCAACUUCGCUGAAAUCACUCCCGUAUACACUGAAUCCACCAUAUAAUAUAAAGAUUCAUGGUGUAUUCAAUUUAAAAUAUAACGAUUUACUUACUUUUCCUCCAUUCCAGCUCGUCUUUGAUUUGCCCUGCUGGGAUGCGUUACUUUUUUAAUGAUUAAAAAAGUGUCCAGACAUUGUUUUACAAUUGCUAUUUAAUUUUAGCCUCACAAUAACCAAUUUAUUUUAUUCAUUAAUAGGAAUAUGUCUAUAUAGUUUACUCCCUAUACAUGGUAUUGUCCACAUUUAUUUGGAGGUAGAAGAGCUAUGUAGACAUAUUCCUAUGCUUGAUUUAACAAUAUUUAGGGACAGAUUUAAAGGAACACUAUAGGGUCAGGAACACAAACCUGUAUUCUUGACCCUAUAGUGUUAAACCUACCAUUUAGGUGGCUUGCCUCCCCCGUUAGCCACCUUAAACAGUAAUAUAACGCACCAUAUUACCAGCGCCAUACAGGUCUACCAGUGCUGGCUUCACCUCCUGACAUCACCAGAAUUUAGAAUUUUUAGCCAAGCCAAUGCUUUCCCAUAGGAAAAGCAUUGGAUUGGCUGAAAUCAGCAAGGAGGUGGGGCCAACGCCAGCUUGGCCAAUCAGCACCUCCUCAUAGAGAUGCAUUGAAUCAAUGCAUCUCUUUGAGGAAAAUUCAGCACCUCCAUGCAGAGCAUACUGUUCAGCACUGCUCCAGGAAGCACCUCCAGUGGUCAUCUAGUGGCCACUGGAGGUGUUCCUAGGGGACAAUAUAAACACUGCCUUUUCUCUCAAAAAUUGAGUGUUUGCAUGAAAAUGCCUGCAGGGAAAGAUUAUACUCACCAGAAAAGCUACAUUAAGCUGUAGUUGUUCUGGUGACUAUAGUGUCCCUUUAAAUACAUGUGUAUUAGACUGUGUCAAUUUUAGCACCCCACCAACUUGCAGUCACCAGCUGCCACUGACUACCAGCCCAAUACCUUCAGCUCAUUGAAGUUGGUAUGGUUACAUGAGGGCCCAUGCGCCAUCUUACCUUAAGGGGUUUAUUCCAACUGUUAAACCCCAAAAUUGGUUCACCAGCUGUCUUCCUUUUUGCCGCUGCAGUAUAAGGAAGCUUUUGCCAGGUGGUGCCUGCACUUCAACACUGGCCAUCCGCUGAGAGAGAGAAAAGCAAAUUAUAUGUGCAAAAUGGUUUAACCCCUAAAAAGAAUAGACAGCGCCCAGAAUCUCCUGCCACCAUAACCUGAACUGAAGUUGUACUGGGUGUCCUUAAAGGAAAACUGUCACCAAUUUUUUUACUUGUCAUUUUUGUGAAGGUAUAUUACAUUUAAUGAAACUUGAUGAUUUAUUUUUUUAGAUAGAUAUAGAUGUGUAUGUGUGUGUAUAUAUAUAUAUAUAUAUAUAUAUAUAUAUAUAUUUUUUUUUUUACAUUUCACUUUCCUUUUUAUCUGACCAUUUUUUUGCAUUUUUCAAAUAUGAAAUAUGAACUCUAACUUUGGCCAGUGUUUGUGACUAGGUGGCUACUCGAAAAGACUGGAUAUACCCCAUUUGUAAUACCUUGGGUUGUCUACUUUUGUAAAUGGUAUGCCAUCAUGGGGGUAAUUCUCAUUCCUGGGCUACCAUUUGAGCUCAAAGGCAACGUAACCAGUCUGGCAAAUUUUAAUGUAAAAAAACUGAAAAAUAUAACAUGCUAUAUUUGACUUUGUAACUUCUCAAAACACCAUAAAACCUGCACAUUGGGGGGACUGUUUUACCCGUGAGACAUCCCCGUGUACUUUAUUGCAGUAACAGCUAACAGUAUUGUGACAUUCACAGUUAAAAUGCCAUGCAGAACUAAAAAACAUUUUUUUUUCUUAAUUUCUCAUUUGUUUUAUAAUUUUAUUCAUAUUAAAUUACGUUUAAUAUACACAUAUUUGAUGGGACAUGAAAGCCCUGUUUCCCCUGAAUAAAAUGAUAUAUGAUAAGUGUGGGUGCACAUAAUAUGAAGGAGGUGAAUUACGCCUGAACAGACAAAUAGCGCAAAUUCAAGGUUUUGUUUAUGUUUUGUUUUGAUCACAACGUGUAGCGUUGACUCAGUCCUUAAGGGAUUAAUUUUGUUAUGUGGAUUUCAGUUUGCUACAGUUUAGCAUUUCAUGAAGAACCAUGUUAGUGUGGGGCUUCUUAUUUUAUUUCUGUUUUGCAUUCUUAACAUUUUCUCUCCCAUUGUUGCAGAAUCUAUGAAUGAUGAUCAUCUGAAUGGUCAGAGUAAUGAAGAAAAUGCUGACCUAGAGAUCAGCACAAAUCUGCCACAAAGCGCAGCUGAAAUUUUAUUGAAAUGGCUCUUGGAUAAUGGUCUUUACCCUUAUGGAAACACUAAAGAGAAUGCAGAUCCGACCGAGUCGUCGGGUCUAACAAACACUCAGGUUAGUGAUCAGAUUCGAUUUUUUAAUUUUUUUUUUUUUUUUUAACCUUUUUAGGCAUCAGAGUAACAGAUAAAAAUGUACUUCAGGGCAAUCACCAUGGAGACACUAAAUGUGCAUGUUUGGAACCUUGCCCUUUAAUUAACACUAUACUCACAUAGAGGAAUUCAUCUCAAUAAGUGGUCAGGGUGCUGUGUCCCAGUGGCGUACACAUGACCCAUGGGGCCCCGGUGCGAAAAUUGAUCCGUGGGCCCCCCCGCUUACUCAGCGCGGGUCGGGGCCGCAACACAUGGCGGCAGGCACCUGGUCGCAGGGGUUGCAGGGCUGCUACCCCGCUACCGCGGUAUGCACACACACUUAAAGGACCACUACAGACACCUAGAUCACAUCAGCUCAAUGAAGUGGUCUGGGUGCCAGGUACCUCUAGUUUUAACCCUGCAGCUGAAAACAUAGCCGUUUCAGAGAAACGGCUAUGUUUCACUGAGGGUUAAUCCAGCCUCUGGUGGCUUUCCUAUGGGCGGUUUAAAUGCGCGCGCGCCUCUUGCCGUGCAUGUGCAUUCGGAGCUGAGAGGCGGAGGGAUCCCCAGCGCCAAGGGAGUCCGACGCUGGAGAAAGGUAAAUGCUGAAGACACACACACACACUCUCAUGAACAGACGCAUACACACUAGCUAACAGACACACACAUUUACUGACAGACACACACUCAGCGACAGACAUACAUACACACUCACUUACAAAACAUACACUUUCACUGACAAACACACACUCACUAACAGACAUCAAACACACUCAGUAAAAGACACACACAGUAACACACUCACUAGCAGACACACACCAAUAACAGACACACACACUAACACAAACACACAAACACUAACAAACACAAACACACACACACAAACACUAACACACACAAACACUAACACACACACACACAAACACUGACACACACAAACACUAACACACACUCACUAACACACACUCACUAACACACACUAACACACACACACAAACACUAACACACAAACACAUACUAACAGACACACAAACACUAACACACAAACACAUACUAACAGACACACUGACACACACACACACACACACACACACACUAACACACAUUUUUUUUUAAUUUAAUCCCCCCAGCCUCCUUACCUUUUGGAGAGCUGGGGGGAUUCCCUGGGGUCCAGUGGUGCCGCUGGGCUGGCUGGCGGGCUGUCUGGCCGGCGCGCGAGGGAGCACACUGCCCUGAGUGUUUCCUCUUCAGCUCCCUCGCGCGCCGCAUAGGGAUGCCGGCGCCGGAAGAUGAUGUCAUCUUCCGGCGCCGGUAUCCCUACGCGGCGCGCGAGGGAGCUGAAGAGGAAGCACAGAGGGGAGAGUGUUCCCUCGCGCGCUGGCCACCCAGCCCGCCCGCCAGGGUCAGCAGGGCCAGCCUCGGGGGGGCCCCGAGGUGGCUGGCCCUGUGGGUACAUACCGGGUCGCAGGGGCGGCCGGGCCCCCUGGUGGGCCGGGCCCGGUCGCGGCCGCGACCCCUGCGACCCUGGUAUGUACGCCACUGCUGUGUCCCGUUUCUCAAAAACUGCAGUGUUUAUAUUACAGGGUUAGAAUCACCUCCAGUGGUGGUCAGUAUGAGAGCCACAAGAGGUGUUUUCAAGGCCGUGACAGAGUAAAACGUGAUCACAUGAAGCGGAAGCCCAACAGGAAAGCAUUAAUUCACUGCUUUCCUAUGGAAAGGUUUGGAUGUGUGCUUGCUGCGCAUGUGCAUUAGGUCCCCAAUGCUCUUCUAUGUGGAACACUGUAUUGAACCAUUGCCACUAAGUGAGGAGAGCUAAGCACCACCAAGGCAACCUCUGCGCUGGAAAAAGGAGAGUCAAAGAGGUUUUUUUUUUUAACCCUUUAGAUGCUUAACCAGGGGGUGUAUCUAAUAACCACUAGGGACAGGGAUACCAUAGCAGUAGGAAUACAGAUUUGUAUUUCUAAUGCUAUAGUGUUCAUUUCAAUUCAUCACUAUUUCAGUUAGUUGUAAGUCAACUUGUAUAAAGGAGACAUAAUUUUAAAACGUAAUUUUACAACUCUGACUGGUAGAUUGAGGUUGAUUUACGGCUUUUGGGUGACCUGUAACGUUGAUAUACUAUUUUAAACACAAACCGGUUCUGAUUAAACAUUUAGUGGAUGGUCUUUUUAAGGUGAAUUAUCUUAACUAGGUAUCGUAAUCAACGGUAUCAAAUCCCUUCACAAAGUCACCCCCUCUCUAAAUGGCUAUAGCAAAUUUAUCUUAUAGGUUUAAUACAGUAUGGUUACCAUAUUUUGGACUCCAACUCAUCCCGUACUAAUUGUCUCAUUACAGUUAGAAUGGCAAAUAUAACCAAUCACUAGCUCUACAUUGAAUUAAUGUGUUGGUAUUUCUGGUUAUAGCCCCUAUGUCACUUACUUUUCUGUAUUUCAAACAAAUGAUCUGCUACGGUGCUUAAUACGGUCAGAAAAGUGCACAGUUACAGCUCAGUGUCUGCAUUUUUGGUCUGUGUAUUGGGUGAGCACAGGUAUGUGCAGCUCUUAUAAAGCCAGACACCUAAUGCUACUGUAUCCUGUGUUUUUUUUAUAUAAAGAGUAGGGGAAGGGUUGGCUUUAAUACAAAUACCUCUUCUGCUCAUUAUGGUAGAGAAUAAAAGUGAGUGGGGUUUUUAACUUACUUAAUAAACAUGAUUUAUGUUUCUAUUCCCACUGACUUGUGUCUAUCCAUUCUCUGUUUACAGAUAUCUAGGUGGAUAAUAAAUGCCAGAAGGCGAAUAUUUUCCAAAACAUAAAAAAAGCUUGAGUUGACGGAAACAGGAAAAAGAAGAUUUCUCCAAACAUGCCAAAAAUGAGUGCAAAGGUUGACCCAACUCCUUUGCCUCCUCAUUGUAAAUACCCCUCUAUUUUAAUACCCC